GUCAGCCCUGAGCUGGCAGUGCCCGUCCCUGGUAAAACAGCCCUACAUCCUUCCCCCUAGAGAACAUGGAACAACCAGACUUUCUGCAGCGUGGAGCUCUGAUCAGCACGGGUG